CUGGGUGUCAGUUACAUUAAAGGGACACUAUAGUCACCAGAACAACUACAGCUUAUUGAAUUUGUUCUGGUGAGUAGAAUCAUUACCUUCAGGCUUUUUGCUGUAAACACUGUCUUUUCAGAGAAAAUGCAGUGUUUACAUUACAGCCUAGUGAUAACUUCACUGGCCACUCCUUUAGAUAGCGGUUAGAGAUCCUUCCUGGGUCAUGGCUGCCUAAAAUGCAUCCAAACAUUCAGUGUCUCCUCCCUCUGCAUGCAAACACUGAACCUUCCUCAUAGAGAUUCAUUGAUUCAAUUAAUCUCUAUGAGGAGAUGCUGAUUGGCCAGGGCUGUGCUUGAAUUAUGCUGGCUCUGCCCCUGAUCUGCCUCCUUGUCAGUCUCAGCCAAUUCUAUGGGGAAGCAUUGUGAUUGGAUCAGGCCACCACUUCUGAUGAUGUCAGAGGUCAGAAUAAGUUCACAGGCAGAGGCAGCAGCUUCAGACUUGAAUACAAGUAAGAUUCUACUAUCUUUAGGGAGACAAAGGGGGCCAAGUGGGCUAGAUAGUGGUUUUAACACUAUAGGGUCAGGAAUACAUGUUUAAGCAUUAAAAUAAAUGUAUUUCAAGUCCCUUCACUCUUAUUGAAUAAACCUCUUACUGUAAUUAGCCCCAAAUUACUAAGGGCCAUC